UACGUAUGGUGCAAGCGUUAUCCGGAAUGACUGGGUGUAAAGGGAGCGUAGACGGUUGUACAAGUCUGAUGUGAAAGCCCACGGCUCAACUGUGGGAGUGCAUUGGAAACUGUAGAACUAGAGUAUCGGAGAGGCAAGUGGAAUUCCUAGUGUAGCGGUGAAAUGCGUAGAUAUUAGGAGGAACACCAGUGGCGGAGGCGGCUUGCUGGACGAAAACUGACGUUGAGGCUCGAAAGCGUGGGGAGCAAACAGG
rnacentral:rRNA from 1 species